rnacentral:rRNA from 1 species
CCCUUAGAGUUUGAUCCUGGCUCAGAACGAACGUUAGCGGCGCGCCUAACACAUGCAAGUCGAGCGAGAAAGGGCUUCGGCCCCAGUAAAGCGGCGCACGGGUGAGUAACACGUGGAUAACCUUCCCCCAGGUUGGGAAUAACGUUCCGAAAGGAACGCUAAUACCGAAUAAGACCACGGCCUCUUUGGAGGCUGAGGUCAAAGCAGGCCUCUUCUUGAAAGCUUGCGCCAGGGGAUGGGUCCGCGGCCCAUCAGCUAGUUGGUAGGGUAAUGGCCUACCAAGGCGAAGACGGGUAGCUGGUCUUAGAGGAUGAUCAGCCACACUGGAACUGAGACACGGUCCAGACUCCUACGGGAGGCAGCAGUGGGGAAUCUUGCGCAAUGGGCGAAAGCCUGACGCAGCGACGCCGCGUGAGCGAUGAAGGCCUUCGGGUUGUAAAGCUCUGUGGAGGGAGACGAAUAAGUCGGAACUAAUAUUUCCGAUGAUGACGGUACCCCUUUAGCAAGCACCGGCUAACUCUGUGCCAGCAGCCGCGGUAAGACAGAGGGUGCAAACGUUGUUCGGAAUCACUGGGCGUAAAGCGUGUGUAGGCGGCUUUGUAGGUCGGAUGUGAAAGCCCCGGGCUCAACCUGGGAAGUGCACUCGAUACUGCAUCGCUUGAGUACUGGAGAGGUUGGUGGAAUUCUCGGUGUAGAGGUGAAAUUCGUAGAUAUCGGGAAGAACAUCGGUGG